rnacentral:tmRNA from 1 species
GGGGGUAAACGGUAUCGAUUGAUGGGGAAGUAAAAACGGUGCAAGGGUGAGGGAAGCGUGGCUCACUAAAAACGCUUAACUUUUAAUCGCAAACGACGAUUUUCAACUAGCACAAGCAGCUUAAUAACCUGACUUGACUUGAGGCGAUGGCAGCCAAGAAACAGAAAGCCAUACUGUGUCCCUUUAGUGAUUUUGAUUGUUUUGUCCGUAAUAAAGCAAUCUAGUCAAGUGGUCUGUCUGACGAAAAAAACAGUUCUAACCUUGUGAAUGACCCUUUUGUGGAACUAGACAAGACGGGAGUUCGAUUCUCCCUACCUCCACCA